rnacentral:rRNA from 1 species
ACGGGCCGGCACAAGCGGAGAGCAUGUGGUUAAUUCGAUGAUACGCGAGGAACCUUACCUGGGCUCGAACGUAAGAUGACUGUAGGUGAAAGCUUACAUCUCUUCGGAGCAUUUUACGAGGUGCUGCAUGGUUGUCGUCAGCUCGUGCCGUGAGGUGUCGGGUUAAGUCCCAUAACGAGCGCAACCCUACCUUUAGUUGCCAUCAGGUUAAGCUGGGGACUCUAAAGGAACUGCCUACGCAAGUAGUGAGGAAGGCGGGGAUGACGUCAAAUCAGCACGGCCCUUACGUCCAGGGCUACACACGUGCUACAAUGGCCGAUACAGAGGGCAGCUACCUGGUGACAGGAUGCAAAUCUCCAAAGUCGGUCUCAGUUCGGAUCGGAGUCUGCAACCCGACUCCGUGAAGUUGGAUUCGCUAGUAAUCGCGCAUCAGCCAUGGCGCGGUGAAUACGUUCCCGGGCCUU